CAGCCGUAAACUAUGCUCGCUAGGUGUCAGGCAUGGCGCGACCGUGUCUGGUGCCGCAGGGAAGCCGUGAAGCGAGCCACCUGGGAAGUACGGCCGCAAGGCUGAAACUUAAAGGAAUUGGCGGGGGAGCACAACAACGGGUGGAGCCUGCGGUUUAAAUUGGACUCAACGCCGGACAACUCACCGGGGACGACAGCAAUAUGUAGGCCAGGCUGAAGACCUUGCCUGAAUCGCUGAGAGGAGGUGCAUGGCGUAGACGUCU
rnacentral:rRNA from 1 species